GGUUAAGCGACUAAGCGUACACGGUGGAUGCCCUGGCAGUCAGAGGCGAUGAAGGACGUGCUAAUCUGCGAAAAGCGCCGGCGAGGUGAUAUGAACCCUUGACCCGGCGAUGUCCGAAUGGGGAAACCCAGUGUGAUUCGUCACACUAUCGUUAACUGAAUACAUAGGUUAACGAGGCGAACCGGGGGAACUGAAACAUCUAAGUACCCCGAGGAAAAGAAAUCAACCGAGAUUCCCCCAGUAGCGGCGAGCGAACGGGGAGCAGCCCAGAGUCUGAAUCAGCUUGUGUGUUAGUGGAAGCGUCUGGAAAGUCGCAGGGUACAGGGUGAUACUCCCGUACACGAAAGCACACUUGCUGUGAACUCGAAGAGUAGGGCGGGACACGUGGUAUCCUGUCUGAAUAUGGGGGGACCAUCCUCCAAGGCUAAAUACUCCUGACUGACCGAUAGUGAACCAGUACCGUGAGGGAAAGGCGAAAAGAACCCCGGCGAGGGGAGUGAAAAAGAACCUGAAACCGUGUACGUACAAGCAGUGGGAGCACCUUCGGGUGUGACUGCGUACCUUUUGUAUAAUGGGUCAGCGACUUAUAUUCUGUAGCAAGGUUAACCGUAUAGGGGAGCCGAAGGGAAACCGAGUCUUAACUGGGCGUUAAGUUGCAGGGUAUAGACCCGAAACCCGGUGAUCUAGCCAUGGGCAGGUUGAAGGUUGGGUAACACUAACUGGAGGACCGAACCGACUAAUGUUGAAAAAUUAGCGGAUGACUUGUGGCUGGGGGUGAAAGGCCAAUCAAACCGGGAGAUAGCUGGUUCUCCCCGAAAGCUAUUUAGGUAGCGCCUCGUGAACUCAUCUUCGGGGGUAGAGCACUGUUUCGGCUAGGGGGCCAUCCCGGCUUACCAACCCGAUGCAAACUACGAAUACCGAAGAAUGUUAUCACGGGAGACACACGGCGGGUGCUAACGUCCGUCGUGAAGAGGGAAACAACCCAGACCGCCAGCUAAGGUCCCAAAGUCAUGGUUAAGUGGGAAACGAUGUGGGAAGGCCCAGACAGCCAGGAUGUUGGCUUAGAAGCAGCCAUCAUUUAAAGAAAGCGUAAUAGCUCACUGGUCGAGUCGGCCUGCGCGGAAGAUGUAACGGGGCUAAACCAUGCACCGAAGCUGCGGCAGCGACACUAUGUGUUGUUGGGUAGGGGAGCGUUCUGUAAGCCGUUGAAGGUGACCUGUGAGGGUUGCUGGAGGUAUCAGAAGUGCGAAUGCUGACAUAAGUAACGAUAAAGCGGGUGAAAAGCCCGCUCGCCGGAAGACCAAGGGUUCCUGUCCAACGUUAAUCGGGGCAGGGUGAGUCGACCCCUAAGGCGAGGCCGAAAGGCGUAGUCGAUGGGAAACAGGUUAAUAUUCCUGUACUUGGUGUUACUGCGAAGGGGGGACGGAGAAGGCUAUGUUAGCCGGGCGACGGUUGUCCCGGUUUAAGCAUGUAGGCGGAGGUUCCAGGUAAAUCCGGUACCUUUUUAACGCUGAGGUGUGAUGACGAGGCACUACGGUGCUGAAGUAACAAAUGCCCUGCUUCCAGGAAAAGCCUCUAAGCAUCAGGUAACAUCAAAUCGUACCCCAAACCGACACAGGUGGUCAGGUAGAGAAUACCAAGGCGCUUGAGAGAACUCGGGUGAAGGAACUAGGCAAAAUGGUGCCGUAACUUCGGGAGAAGGCACGCUGAUAUGUAGGUGAAGCCCCUGCGGGUGGAGCUGAAAUCAGUCGAAGAUACCAGCUGGCUGCAACUGUUUAUUAAAAACACAGCACUGUGCAAACACGAAAGUGGACGUAUACGGUGUGACGCCUGCCCGGUGCCGGAAGGUUAAUUGAUGGGGUUAGCGGUAACGCGAAGCUCUUGAUCGAAGCCCCGGUAAACGGCGGCCGUAACUAUAACGGUCCUAAGGUAGCGAAAUUCCUUGUCGGGUAAGUUCCGACCUGCACGAAUGGCGUAAUGAUGGCCAGGCUGUCUCCACCCGAGACUCAGUGAAAUUGAACUCGCUGUGAAGAUGCAGUGUACCCGCGGCAAGACGGAAAGACCCCGUGAACCUUUACUAUAGCUUGACACUGAACACUGGUCCUUGAUGUGUAGGAUAGGUGGGAGGCUUUGAAGCGUGGACGCCAGUCUGCGUGGAGCCAACCUUGAAAUACCACCCUUUAAUGGCUGGUGUUCUAACGUAGACCCGUGAUCCGGGUUGCGGACAGUGUCUGGUGGGUAGUUUGACUGGGGCGGUCUCCUCCCAAAGAGUAACGGAGGAGCACGAAGGUUAGCUAAUCCUGGUCGGACAUCAGGAGGUUAGUGCAAUGGCAUAAGCUAGCUUGACUGCGAGAGUGACGGCUCGAGCAGGUGCGAAAGCAGGUCAUAGUGAUCCGGUGGUUCUGAAUGGAAGGGCCAUCGCUCAACGGAUAAAAGGUACUCCGGGGAUAACAGGCUGAUACCGCCCAAGAGUUCAUAUCGACGGCGGUGUUUGGCACCUCGAUGUCGGCUCAUCACAUCCUGGGGCUGAAGUAGGUCCCAAGGGUAUGGCUGUUCGCCAUUUAAAGUGGUACGCGAGCUGGGUUUAGAACGUCGUGAGACAGUUCGGUCCCUAUCUGCCGUGGGCGCUGGAGAAUUGAGGGGGGCUGCUCCUAGUACGAGAGGACCGGAGUGGACGCAUCACUGGUGUUCGGGUUGUCAUGCCAAUGGCACUGCCCGGUAGCUAAAUGCGGAAGAGAUAAGUGCUGAAAGCAUCUAAGCACGAAACUUGCCCCGAGAUGAGUUCUCCCUGAGACUUAAAGUCUCCUGAAGGAACGUUGAAGACGACGACGUUGAUAGGUCGGGUGUGUAAGCGCAGCGAUGCGUUGAGCUAACCGAUACUAAUGAACCGUGAGGCUUAACCUU
rnacentral:rRNA from 1 species